UACGGAAGGCAGCAGUGGGGAAUAUUGCACAAUGGGCGCAAGCCUGAUGCAGCCAUGCCGCGUGUAUGAAGAAGGCCUUCGGGUUGUAAAGUACUUUCAGUCGUGAGGAAGGUGUUAAGGUUAAUAACCUUAGCAAUUGACGUUAGCGACAGAAGAAGCACCGGCUAACUCCGUGCCAGCAGCCGCGGUAAUACGGAGGGUGCGAGCGUUAAUCGGAAUUACUGGGCGUAAAGGGCACGCAGGCGGUUAAUUAAGUUGGAUGUGAAAUCCCCGGGCUUAACCUGGGAAUGGCAUUCAAGACUGGUUAGCUAGAGUCUUGUAGAGGGGGUAGAAUUCCAUGGUGUAGCGGUGAAAUGCGUAGAGAUGUGGAGGAAUACCGGUGGCGAAGGCGGCCCCUGGACAAAGGCUGACGCUCAUGUGCGAAAGCGUGGGGAGCAAAC
rnacentral:rRNA from 1 species